CGUUCUGUAAGCCUGUGAAGGUGUGCUGUGAGGCAUGCUGGAGGUAUCAGAAGUGCGAAUGCUGACAUAAGUAACGAUAAAGCGGGUGAAAAGCCCGCUCGCCGGAAGACCAAGGGUUCCUGUCCAACGUUAAUCGGGGCAGGGUGAGUCGACCCCUAAGGCGAGGCCGAAAGGCGUAGUCGAUGGGAAACGGGUUAAUAUUCCCGUACUUGGUGUUACUGCGAAGGGGGGACGGAGAAGGCUAUGUUGGCCGGGCGACGGUUGUCCCGGUUUAAGCGUGUAGGUAUGUGUUCCAGGUAAAUCCGGUUCACUUUAACACUGAGGCGUGACGACGAGGCACUACGGUGCUGAAGCAACAAAUGCCCUGCUUCCAGGAAAAGCCUCUAAGCAUCAGGUAACAUCAAAUCGUACCCCAAACCGACACAGGUGGUCAGGUAGAGAAUACCAAGGCGCUUGAGAGAACUCGGGUGAAGGAACUAGGCAAAAUGGUGCCGUAACUUCGGGAGAAGGCACGCUGACACGUAGGUGAAGUGAUUUACUCACGGAGCUGAAGUCAGCCGAAGAUACCAGCUGGCUGCAACUGUUUAUUAAAAACACAGCACUGUGCAAACACGAAAGUGGACGUAUACGGUGUGACGCCUGCCCGGUGCCGGAAGGUUAAUUGAUGGGGUCAGCGCAAGCGAAGCUCCUGAUCGAAGCCCCGGUAAACGGCGGCCGUAACUAUAACGGUCCUAAGGUAGCGAAAUUCCUUGUCGGGUAAGUUCCGACCUGCACGAAUGGCGUAAUGAUGGCCAGGCUGUCUCCACCCGAGACUCAGUGAAAUUGAACUCGCUGUGAAGAUGCAGUGUACCCGCGGCAAGACGGAAAGACCCCGUGAACCUUUACUAUAGCUUGACACUGAACAUUGAGCCUUGAUGUGUAGGAUAGGUGGGAGGCUU
rnacentral:rRNA from 2 species